ACAGGCAUUACCCACUGAGAGCUACCUUGAAGGGAAGAAAAUUAAUUUGGCAAAUUGCUCAAUUCCUUACUGGAAGCUGUGAACUUGGCAGUUGGUCACGGAAGGGGCAGGCUCUGUUUACUGAACGUAAUAAGCAGAAGAGGAAGCUCUUCCCAAGUUUACUAGGUUUGAAACACUCCAACUAAGCAGCACAUGUCACUGUGAGGAAGAAGCAGAGGAGAGACGGUCUCAAUGCAUAAAUCCAAUGCCACAAACACAGUGAGUCAGA
rnacentral:lncRNA from 1 species